rnacentral:rRNA from 1 species
UACAGAGGUCUCGAGCGUUAGGCGGAAUCACUGGGCUUAAAGCGUGUGUAGGUGGAUCGUUAAGUACCUUGUGAAAUCCCACGGCUUAACCGUGGAACUGCUUGGUAUACUGGCGGUCUUGAGCCAGCUAGGGGCUACCGGAACAAAUGGUGGAGCGGUGAAAUGCGUAGAUAUCAUUUGGAACGCCAAUGGUGAAAACAGGUAGCUGGGAGUGUGGCUGACGUGAGACACGAAAGCCAGGGGAGCGAACGGG